UAGGGAAUCUUCCACAAUGGACGGAAAGUCUGAUGGAGCAACGCCGCGUGAGUGAAGAAGGGUUUCGGCUCGUAAAGCUCUGUUGUUAAAGAAGAACGUGGGUAAGAGUAACUGUUUACCCAGUGACGGUAUUUAACCAGAAAGCCACGGCUAACUACGUGCCAG
rnacentral:rRNA from 1 species